rnacentral:rRNA from 1 species
GACGAACGCUGGCGGCGUGCCUAAUACAUGCAAGUUGAGCGCUGAAGGUUGGUACUUGUACCAACUGGAUGAGCAGCGAACGGGUGAGUAACGCGUGGGGAAUCUGCCUUUGAGCGGGGGACAACAUUUGGAAACGAAUGCUAAUACCGCAUAAAAACUUUAAACACAAGUUUUAAGUUUGAAAGAUGCAAUUGCAUCACUCAAAGAUGAUCCCGCGUUGUAUUAGCUAGUUGGUGAGGUAAAGGCUCACCAAGGCGAUGAUACAUAGCCGACCUGAGAGGGUGAUCGGCCAAAUUGGGACUGAGACACGGCCCAAACUCCUACGGGAGGCAGCAGUAGGGAAUCUUCGGCAAUGGACGAAAGUCUGACCGAGCAACGCCGCGUGAGUGAAGAAGGUUUUCGGAUCGUAAAACUCUGUUGGUAGAGAAGAACGUUGGUGAGAGUGGAAAGCUCAUCAAGUGACGGUAACUACCCAGAGAGGGACGGCUAACUACGUG